rnacentral:rRNA from 1 species
AGUGAACGCUGGCGGCGUGCCUAAUACAUGCAAGUCGAACGGAGAUUAAGUAGCUUGCUAUUUAAUCUUAGUGGCGCACGGGUGAGUAAUAUAUAGCUAACUUGCCCAUUACUAAGGGACAACAGUUGGAAACGACUGCUAAUACCUUAUACUCCGUAUCUAUAUAAGUAGAUACGGGAAAGUUUUUCGGUAAUGGAUAGGGCUAUAUCGUAUCAGCUAGUUGGUAAGGUAAUGGCUUACCAAGGCUAUGACGCGUAACUGGUCAGAGAGGAUGAUCAGUCACACUGGAACUGAGACACGGUCCAGACUCCUACGGGAGGCAGCAGUAGGGAAUAUUACUCAAUGGGGGAAACCGUGAAGCAGCAUCGCCGCGUGGAGGAUGACACUUUUCGGAGCAUAAACUCCUUUUCUUGGGAAAGAAUUAUGACGGUACCCAAGGAAUAAGCACCGGCUAACUCCGUG